AGUGAACGCUGGCGGUAGGCCUAACACAUGCAAGUCGAACGGCAGCACAGGAGAGCUUGCUCUCUAGGUGGCGAGUGGCGGACGGGUGAGGAAUACAUCGGAAUCUGCCCAGUCGUGGGGGAUAACGUAGGGAAACUUACGCUAAUACCGCAUACGACCUUCGGGUGAAAGAGGGGGAUCGCAAGACCUCUCGCGAUUGGAUGAGCCGAUGUCGGAUUAGCUAGUUAGCGGGGUAAUGGCCCACCAAGGCGACGAUCCGUAGCUGGUCUGAGAGGAUAAUCAGCCACACUGGAACUGAGACACGGUCCAGACUCCUACGGGAGGCAGCAGUGGGGAAUAUUGGACAAUGGGCGCAAGCCUGAUCCAGCCAUACCGCGUGGGUGAAGAAGGCCUUCGGGUUGUAAAGCCCUUUUGUUGGGAAAGAAAUCUUUCAGGCUAAUACCCUGGGAGGAUGACGGUACCCAAAGAAUAAGCACCGGCUAACUUCGUG
rnacentral:rRNA from 1 species